ensembl:lncRNA
AGAAGGUAACUGAAACAAUGUGGUUUAAGUCCAGGUGAUCAUAAGGGGUCCAAGCACAAUGGUUUGUGUAGAUGAUGCAGUUAAACAAUGGACGUGUCUCUUUUCAAGUAAAUUAUUAUACGCACAACAUGAAAAUAGAUAACAAAUAUAGUGUCCCUUCUUCACUUUUUUUCAGUAAUGCGUGAUAACUUGAGAAAUAUGUUGUCAAUACUAUUAAAAAUAAGAUAAAAAAACGUAAUGGUAUUUCGGAGAUGAUAGUUUUUUUGCAUAAUUACUAUAUUGGGCUUUAUUAAAGUUUAUGAAAAAAGAAUGAAUGUAUAUGCAUUUUUGAUUUAUUUACAUAAAUGAAACAUUUUCAAGUCUUUGAACAGAUCUUGAAGAAGUAUUUGCUAUCCUGUGGCGCCAUCGUGUGGAAAACAUUAGCAUCGUGGCCCUUCAUUUUUUUGAACAACAUGAUGAAAGGGGGCCAAUAUUUUUUUGAAUGAUUAUAAAUAUUUAAUGAUUAGUUUACUGAUAAUAUACCCACAUUAAAAAUCUAAUUUACUGAUUCUGUAUCUUAUUUCAUGCUUAAUCAUGAGUUUAAUUUUCAAGUUUAUAUUUUUUUAAGCAGUGUUGAAUGAUUACUAUGAGUUGCAAAAAAAUUUUUUUUUGUUUUGUUUGUUUUUUUAUUUUUAUUUAUUUAUUUUUUUUAGGAUUUACAUUUAAAAAAAUUAGCCUACUUCAAACAUUUUAAGCAGCUUGAACAAAAACCUGUUAAUAUUUAUUAUAGACCACUGUAACUGUCUAUAAUCUAAAAAACAAAUUUAUUAUGAAAAUAAAAGUGUGUACACCAGUUAAAUUGGACGAUAAAGAAAGUGCUAACAAUAGUUUAUAGUGCAUGUUUUAAGUUUAUAGGUGUUUGGAUGCAGAAAUGGACAAAAACAAAUUUAAAAUAACGUCAUCAAUUUAGUUAAAUAUAGAUUACAUUUCUUUGUUAGAGCAAAAAUAAUAAUAAUAAUAAUAAUAAUAAUAAAUACAUGAAUACAUACACACAUACAAAAAAAAGCAGCCAAGACGAAUAAUUUUCUGUUUUUUAUAGAUUAAAAUUGAAGACAGAAAGCAGCUGGUAAAUGCAGUCACUUUAAUAUUCAAAUCCAGUAUCACGAUCCACUUCAGAUUUAUUUCUCAACAGUUUAUAUUCACGUGUCUGUUUUCGUUUAUAUUCGCCAAGCUAUUAUGUAUUUUGAAAUAAUCUUGUACUUGAUUUGUUCGUUCUUGCGACGAAAAGCCAGAAUCAGCGUCCUCUGGAGCUCGUGAGAUAGAUGUUAUUCUGCCCUUAGACAGUCUCGCGCUGUCAAAUAGUCUUUCAUUUUCACAAUUACACAGCUCACAAAAACACCUGAAUUUAGUUCUUGUUGUGUUCUAAUGGGUGGAUUGUGUGCAUUCGCGGUUAUAUUUUUGUUUUAAAAAAAGCUCUUAAAAACUAUAAAAAAAUGCUUUUUAUUGUGAGCUCUGUUGUAGUACUGCACGCGCUGAUGCAGCGGUGAUUUCUCUCUGGUCUUUCUCACUGAUCUCUGGCCAGACAUCAAUUAUUAAUGAGAUC